UUUUGACACUUCGCCUGGUUCGUUGGGACUGAAUGUGGAAGCUUAGUCCAGAUCAACAGCUUCCCACAUUGCUGAAGACAGCUCUGUGGAACUGGCUGGCUGGCAGCUUGGACCUAGCAAGAUGCUGGAAAGGCAGAAAAUUAGCAUCAUGGUAUUACCUUAAUAUCCAGGAGACAGAACUUGCCGGAUGUCAGGGGGUGUCUGUGAGAAAGUGGGCUGUGCUGUAUGAACCCCCUGAAGUGAUUGAGGUAGGUUUAGGCUUUGGAAUGUUGCUGUUCUAGCUGCUUGGUCAGCUCGGUGAAGGCAAAGAUAUUUUGAGAUUGAGAGCUGAGUAGAAUAGAGGAAAAAAAGCAUCCUUAAGAUCUAGAACUAAGAAGUGGGAGGUUCCUGGGAGGGGUAGUGGAAAGAAGUGUGUAAGGGUUAGGCACUACAGGCUGAAGAGGAACCACUGCAGAGUUAAUGAGCUGGAGGUCUUGAACCAGACGAUAGGUUCCAUUAGUGUCAGGAGCCAUUCCCCCCCCCCCCAAAUUGACAGAGCCUAUCCCACACCCAAUUAUCUGUUAAUAGAGAGAUAUCUGUUAGCGGAACCUGCCCCACAUUCUAACUAUCUAGAGAACUAGGUGUGUCAACUUGCGACUUCCUGACCGAGGAAUCAUGACCUGACUGAUCGUAACCUCCUAGCCAACGACCUCGGGACCGGCUGGAACCACCACUGCAAGAUUCCUUCCUGCCCAUGCCCUUGCCCCCCAAAUUCCUCAUCCAGGGGCUAUAUAAGCUGUA